rnacentral:rRNA from 1 species
CUACGUAGGUGGCAAGCGUUGUCCGGAAUUAUUGGGCGUAAAGCGCAUGUAGGCGGUUUGGUAAGUCGGUCGUGAAAAUGCGGUGCUUAACGCCGUAUGGCGAUUGAAACUGCUGAACUUGAGUGCAGGAGAGGAAAGGGGAACUCCCAGUGUAGCGGUGAAAUGCGUAGAUAUUGGGAAGAACACCGGUGGCGAAGGCGCCUUUCUGGACUGUGUCUGCCGCUCAGAUGCGUAAGCCAGGGUAGCGAACGGGAUUAGAUACCCCGGUAGUCCUGGCCGUAAACGAUGGGUACUAGGUGUGGGAGGUAUCGACUCCUUCCGUGCCGGAGUUAACGCAAUAAGUGCCCCGCCUGGGGAGUACGCCGGCAACGGUGAAACUCAAAGGAAUUGACGGGG